UACGAAGGGGGGCUAGCGUUGCUCGGAAUUACUGGGCGUAAAGGGCGCGUAGGCGGACAGUUUAGUCAGAGGUGAAAGCCCAGGGCUCAACCUUGGAAUUGCCUUUGAUACUGACUGUCUUGAGUUCGGGAGAGGUGAGUGGAAUGCCGAGUGUAGAGGUGAAAUUCGUAGAUAUCAGGAGGAACACCGGUGGUGUAGACGGCUCUCGUGGACCGUAACUGACGCUGAGGCACGAAAGCGUGGGUAGCAAACAGG
rnacentral:rRNA from 1 species